GCAUAUCAAUAGCGGAGGAAAAGAAACCAUCAGGGAUUGCCCCAGUAACGGCGAAGUGAGCGGCAGAGCUCAAAUUUGAAAUCUGGCCUCCUUCGGGGGUCCGAGUUGUAAUUUGUAGAGGAUGCUUCGGGUGUGGCCGCCGUCUAAGUUCCUUGGAACAGGACGUCAGAGAGGGUGAGAAUCCCGUCUUGGGCGGCUGGUCCGCGCCCGUGUGAAGCUCCUUCGACGAGUCGAGUUGUUUGGGAAUGCAGCUCUAAGCGGGUGGUAAAUUUCAUCUAAAGCUAAAUACUGGUCGGAGACCGAUAGCGCACAAGUAGAGUGAUCGAAAGGUUAAAAGCACCUUGAAAAGGGAGUUAAACAGCACGUGAAAUUGUUGAAAGGGAAGCGCUUGCGGCCAGACUCGGGGGCGGGGUUCAGCGGGUGCUCGUCGCCCGUGCACUCCCCGUCUCCCGGGCCAGCAUCAGUUUCGACGGCCGGUCAAAGGCCCCCGGAAUGUGUCGUCUCUCGGGACGUCUUAUAGCCGGGGGUGCAAUGCGGCCCGUUGGGACUGAGGAACGCGCUUCGGCUCGGAUGCUGGCAUAAUGGCCGUAAGCGGCCCGUCUUGAAACACGGACCAAGGAGUCUAACAUCCACGCGAGUGUUCGGGUGUCAAACCCGUGCGCGCAGUGAAAGCGAACGGAGGUGGGAGCCUUAGGGCGCACCAUCGACCGAUCCUGAAGUCUUCGGAUGGAUUUGAGUAGGAGCGUGGCCGUUGGGACCCGAAAGAUGGUGAACUAUGCCUGAAUAGGGUGAAGCCAGAGGAAACUCUGGUGGAGGCUCGCAGCGGUUCUGACGUGCAAAUCGAUCGUCAAAUUUGGGCAUAGGGGCGAAAGACUAAUCGAACCAUCUAGUAGCUGGUUCUGCG
rnacentral:rRNA from 1 species